rnacentral:rRNA from 1 species
UUAAAGAGUGCGUAAUAGCUCACUGGUCGAGUGACUCUGCGCCGAAAAUGUACCGGGGCUAAACGUAUCACCGAAGCUGUGGAUUGACAUCUUAGAUGUCAGUGGUAGGAGAGCGUUCUAAGUGCAGUGAAGUCAGACCGUAAGGACUGGUGGAGCGCUUAGAAGUGAGAAUGCCGGUAUGAGUAGCGAAAGACAAGUGAGAAUCUUGUCCACCGAAUGCCUAAGGUUUCCUGAGGAAGGCUCGUCCGCUCAGGG